GUYUUUUUGUUAAAAAUUUAAAGUCAGGCCUGCCCACUGAAAUUUUAAAUGGCCGUGGUAUUUUGACCGUGCUAAGGUAGCAUAAUCAUUAGUUUUUUAAUUGAAAGCUGGAAUGAAAGGUUUGAUAAAAAAAUGACUGUCUCUAUUUAAUUUUAUUAGAAAUUUAUUUUUAAGUUCAAAAGCUUAAUUAUUAUUAAAAGACGAGAAGACCCUAUAGAGUUUAAUAAUUUAAGGUAAUUUAUAUUUUAGAAUUAAUUUAUUUAUUUUUUAAUAUUAUUUAAUUGGGGUGAUUGAAAAAUUUAAUUAACUUUUUUUAUAUUUAACCAUUAAUUUAUGAUAAUUUGAUCCAAUUUUUUUGAUUAUAAGAUAAAAUUACCUUAGGGAUAACAGCGUAAUUUUUUUAGAAAGUUCAAAUUAAAAGAAAAGAUUGCGACCUCGAUGUUGGAUUAAAAUUAAAUUUUGGUGUAGAAGCUAAAAAUUUUAAGUCUGUUCGACUUUUAAAAUUUUACA
rnacentral:rRNA from 1 species